AACCCCGCGUUGGACGUGGGGUUCAGUGUACGCUACGCGUUUGACCAGAAAUCCUCUCUCCGUUAGGAUAUAAUUGCGGUCUGCCAACUGCAAAAUCCUAGGAGGAGGAG
rnacentral:sRNA from 1 species